UGCCACGCAGCUUCAUACCACCCCAGAACCAGCUGCCAGGGCUCAACAGAAAGCUGCUGCUUGUCGCCUGUUCUGAGAGGAAAUGUAUUGUACAGAGUGCUGCGGAGCUCUCCUAAGCCAGCUGAGCACUGUUUGCAAGUGGAGAGAUCACCACCACGGAGGGCUCUUCAUCACUCCAUGCCUUUCCACUUGGAAAAGGUGAAACCCUGCAUAUAAAAUGCUGAUGCAGUCACGUAUUACAGAGCACACUGCCUCCUUUUAACACCUAACUUUUCCCCUUUCUGUGCAGUCAUCAGACCUGUCUGCUUUUAAUGAGGGCUUGUGGGACUCUGGCAAACAUGACUCCAUCUAUCUGUUCCACUUCAAGGCUGUCAGUGUUCAUUUUAGGCUGCGUUUCUUGCAGCCAAUGUCUCUCCCUGGUAGAUGCCCUUUCAAGGUUUCUUCAAAUUAGGUCCACUCAGCAACACCAAAGCCAACAGAAGCAUUCACUGUCCAGUUACCUACAUAAACAAGUUUGUUCCUUGUGAUGAAAAAUAAAACAAAUGAAAAGUGAA